rnacentral:rRNA from 1 species
GACGAACGCUGGCGGCGUGCUUAACACAUGCAGGUCGAACGGAAAGGCCCUGCUUUUGUGGGGUGCUCGAGUGGCGAACGGGUGAGUAACACGUGAGUAACCUGCCCUUGACUUUGGGAUAACUUCAGGAAACUGGGGCUAAUACCGGAUAGGAGCUCCUGCUGCAUGGUGGGGGUUGGAAAGUUUCGGCGGUUGGGGAAGGACUCGCGGCUUAUCAGCUUGUUAGUGGGGUAGUGGCUUACCAAGGCUUUGACGGGUAGCCGGCCUGAGAGGGUGACCGGCCACAUUGGGACUGAGAUACGGCCCAGACUCCUACGGGAGGCAGCAGUGGGGAAUAUUGCACAAUGGGCGGAAGCCUGAUGCAGCAACGCCGCGUGCGGGAUGACGGCCUUCGGGUUGUAAACCGCUUUCGCCUGUGACGAAGCGUGAGUGACGGUAAUGGGUAAAGAAGCACCGGCUAACUACGUG